rnacentral:rRNA from 1 species
GCUUCUGGAGGGGGGUGCGUCCUAUCAGGUAGUUGGUGAGGUAACUGCUCACCAAGCCUAUGACGGGUAGCCGGUCUGAGAGGAUGUCCGGCCGCAAUGGGACUGAGACACGGCCCAUACUCCUACGGGAGGCAGCAGUGGGGAAUUUUGCGCAAUGGACGAAAGUCUGACGCAGCAAUCUCGCGUGAAGGAUGAAGCAUUAAGGUGUGUAAACUUCUUUUUUGGUGGAAGACGAAUGACGGUACACCAAGAAUAAGGGACGGCUAACUACGUGCCAGCAGCCGCGGUAAUACGUAGGUCCCAAGUGUUAUCCGGAAUUACUGGGCGUAAAGAGUCUGUAGCCUGAUAUAUAAGUCUGUUUUCAAAUACCGCAGCUCAACUGCGGACAGGGAAUAGAUACUGUAUAUCUUGAGAUUGUUAGGGGUUAGUGGAAUUUCCGGUGGAGCGGUGAAAUGCGUUGAUAUCGGAAGGAACGCCAAAAGCGAAAGCAGCUAACUAUAACAAAUCUGACGGUCAGAGACGAAAGCUUGGGUAGCAAAUGGGAUUAGAUACCCCGGUAGUCCAAGCUGUAAAUUUUGCUUGCUAGGUGUUUUGACCCGCUCUGCGGGUUGGAGUGCCGUAAUCUAACGAGUUAAGCAAGCCGCCUGGGUAAUAUAUUCGCAAGAAUGAAACUCAAAGGGAUAGGCGGGGGAACACACAAGCAGUGGAUUGUCUCGAUUAAUUGGAUAUUAAGCCAAAAAUCUUACCUAGACUUGACAUGUACUGUGUCCAAUGCGAAAGUAUUGUAGUCCGGUUUCGGCCGGACACGGUAUACAGGUGGUGCAUGGUCGUCGUCAGCUCGUGCCGCAAGGUGUCCAGUUAAGUCUGGGAACGAGCGCAACCCUCACUCUAUGUUA